GUUUUGAAAAUUACCUUGUGUUUCAGCAGCAAUGUGGACUCCAAUCAAAGUUUUCUGAUGUCUGAGCCUCCUGAGUAUUCCACACACCUAACCAGUAAACAGUGAGCUAAUGACCUGGCCAUCCUGUUCAAACAGUUCAUUAUAGGUGUCUGGGGAAGGGUAAAAUUCUGGAGGCCCUGACAUUGAAUCCCGUAAGAUCCUAAAGCCAUCGAAGGGGCAGGGUUUUGAGUCACAAAACAAAGCAGAAAUAGAUGCGAUUCUGUACAUGGCGCUCCUUCAGCUGUCCCUCUAGACUGGGGUGCGAUCGGGCAGGGGAAUGAAACAGGUUGAACCCCUCACAGUAGCAGCAGCAUCUACAUCAUCAUCAUCAUUCAUAUGUCCAGCUGAAGAGGCAGAUGAUGCAGAAAAGGUCUGUGGAUAAGGAAACUCCAGCUCUGAAUCAUCAGUCCCACUUUUUCCAUCAUGGCAGCCAUACAAAAUAAGGAAGAAAAAAGAAAUGCAUCCAGUGUGACUGGCCUGGUGCUGCCUGGAGUAAUGACCAGGGGUGAUAAGAGAGCAGGUACUGGAAUCCACAGCAGAAGAAGUCCAUCAUUCUAUUCCAAAUCAAAAGGGCCUUGGCUUUAUGGAGACGGUGAGGCUCAUACAGAAUAUGUGCAAAAUGAUUUUUACAAGCAACGUUGAAAGACACCCGUUUGAUGCAGGGUCCUUUUGGCUAGGGCCAUCCACAGGAAGCUGAGGUUCUCCUUUGCAUUCAGGAAGCAGCCAUUGUUCCUUGUGCAGCGACUGAGAACAAGCGGGAGCUGGCUCUCCUCCUCCACCUCUUCCUCCUCCUCAUGGACACAUGCUGGGGUUGUAUUCGCUCCUGAAAAGCUCUCUUACACCACCCAACUCUGCGACUCGUCCCAACAGAAAUG
rnacentral:lncRNA from 1 species